UCCCUGAUAGUCUAGGGCUUAAGACUCCACACUUCCAAUGCAGGGGGCACAGGUUCAAUCCCUGGCUGGGGAA
rnacentral:tRNA from 1 species